rnacentral:lncRNA from 1 species
UAUCCCUAUAGGAUUAUCGAUCGACACUUUCUAUUGAUCAAAAUAACAACAGUUGAGAUCAUUAGAUCUAGUUAAUAGACAAGUCAAUACAUGAGAGAGCUGAUUGACUUGUUGAUCAAGUUGUUGACCUUUACAUUAUCAUGCAUGCAACUCAUUAGGCAUUUGUAGGAUUAUAAUUCCAAUUUUCCUGAAUAAAAACCGUAAGUCUAGCUAUUUCCUUUUUAAGCACCA